UACGUAGGGCGCAAGCGUUUGUCCGGAAUUAUUGGGCGUAAAGAGCUCGUAGGUGGCCUGUCGCGUCGGCUGUGAAAACUCGGGGCUCAACUCCGAGCUUGCAGUCGAUACGGGCAGGCUAGAGUUCGGCAGGGGAGACUGGAAUUCCUGGUGUAGCGGUGAAAUGCGCAGAUAUCAGGAGGAACACCGAUGGCGAAGGCAGGUCUCUGGGCCACUACUGACGCUGAGAAGCGAAAGCAUGGGGAGCGAACAGG
rnacentral:rRNA from 1 species